rnacentral:snRNA from 1 species
GUGCUCGCUUGGCAGCACAUAUACUAAAAUUGGAAUGAUACAGAGAAGAUCAGCAUGGCCCCCCGCGCAAGGAUGACAUGCAAAUUCGUGAAGCGUUCCACAUUUUU